AAGCCUUAAACCUAUCAGGAUUACGAAACCACGAAGCCUAAUACGUCUCGAAGCAACGUUUUGUAAGACUGCUGGGUUGUUACAGGCUUUCUGACAUAUCUGAGACUUCUUGAAAUUAUCAUUGAAACUUUAAAACUUUAAAAUACCUCAAACUUUUUCGAUAGAGACACAAAUUCAAAGAGAAAUUCAAAGGUAGGUAUUCAAUGUUUAAAAUCUUUCAAUCAAUGAAAUCUAAAGAUGAAAUGCCACUUAGGUGGUUCCACGAAGAGUUUACCUAAUUUUUCCAAAUUUUAGUACAUUAUAAUCGAUAUUAUCGUAUCGUGUGUUUAUUUGUUCAUUUUUAAUUGCUAUUAAUCAGUUCAUUAUUGAAAGAAUCUCUCUUGAAAUGAUUAAGGUAAACAAACCAGCCAGUUUUACGAACAUAAUAUCUAAAAAUUGUUCCUCGAGUUCAUACGUCAUCGAUCAUCAAUAAUUUCGUCGAACGUCGGUUGGAUUAAAUAGUUUCUAGGUGCUCGUCGCAGGCUGCACGCGACUUCCACGCACCCUGAACAAUAGAAACCCGAGUGGCCAUCAGAGAUCCGCCUCGUCAUCGCGAUUAUGAUUCCGGACAGCGCGAGAUCCCGUGAAACUGCUUCGUUACGCGUCGUUGAACGAUCCUCGAGAUUUAACGGAGGGACCCUGUCGUAUUUCAUUGCUCCACCAAUAUUUUAGAUACGCGUGAACGUUGCAUUAAAAUGAGCAAGUUCAUUCUCGCUAUGAAGAUAAGACGCUGUUAGCACGAAAUAGGAAGCUACCUAUUUGGUACGCGUUUAGAUUUCAAAGAUUGGUUGAGUGGAACACGAUUGUUCGAAGCGUUGUAGAUAUCUCGAAGAGAGUUUUUAGAAACUAGUUGAGAAAUUUUUUACUAUUUCAUUUAAAUCUUUUAUUCAACAUAUUGAAGUAAUAUCAAGAGGACAAAAUUAUUGUUGUUAUAUCUAUAUUUAGAGGUAGGAUCGCGUUAGUUAUUACUUUAUUAUUCGGAUAAAAAACACUUCUCGGAGCCGAAAAACCUUUAUUGCACACGCUUGGAAGAGACAAGAACGAAUGAAUGAAAAGGAAGUCUUAAACUAUCGAUCUGGUCUAUCGACCGUGUCUAGUAAUAUCUUCUAGUUACUCCUCUUUGUAACUAGCUGUCAGCAUAUAGAUGGCGAGCGAAAACUCACGUUGUCAUUUUCAACAAUUAUACCGCACGAUUAUUGUAUAUUUUACUCGUGGUAAUUCAGGCUUAUUUCAAACACUAUUAUAUUAUGUGUUGAUAUAUGUACGAGCAUAUAGAGAUCUUUAGUUGUAUUAACGCUAGAACUACCGGCGGUAAUAAUACAAAAUUUAUACCAAAUUAAAAUAAACAUAUGUAUAUAUUAAUAAAAUGAACGACUGUGUUAUGAUAUUUGUUCACCGUUAGAUCGAUGGGAUGAAGUUAUAUCGAGUGAACGUGACUGAAAGCUUCAACUGAUGGAACUAUGUAUUUUUUACAUGACUGAUACAAGAAGCGAUUUUACGUGAUUAUAUGCGUGAAGAUAAGAAGAUAAGAAUAAAAUUUGGUUAAUCAGGCAAGCAACAAUAUAUACUUACUUUACGCUGAUGUGAGUUGUAAACCGGAAAAUUGAUAUAAAAGGUAGUUGCAAGCAACUGAUUCGAACUACUGGUUUUAAUAAUCUCAUUGUAUAGAUUAUUUGCUUUUUCUUUAAAUCGAAUAUUUCAAAUUGUAAGUAUAUAAUAUAUUGAAAAUCCCAUUGGAAAAAUAGUAAAUGGUACCAAGCAAAAAGUCGAUUUAUCGUAAGAUUCGACGAUUGAAAUUAUUUUACGACGUCCUAUUUUUAGCAAGAGCAGCAAAAGAGUUUGGCUGCGAUCUAAUUGUUAUACAACUAUGCAACUUGAGUAACCAAGGCUAUUACGUCUGCCAAGGUGAUAAUUAAGAUUGUCGAACAAGUUUGUCAAGGCGAUAAUUAGGAUAUUCAAACUUUAAAAAGUUCCUAAUUGUACUAUUAUAAAAAUAUAAAGGAGAAUUAAGACCAGCGUAACGCGUAGUAUUCAUAAGCUUUGAGGAUAAAAAUUAAUAAAAAGCCCCUUAAGCUUUUGAGACAAGGUGAAAAAAUUUAAAUUGCAAUAAAAAUUCUCCAUCGAUAUAGACCACUUUGACACUUUUGAUUUUCCUAAGAAAUAACGUGAUUUUAUUUUUUCUGCAAUAUUUCGUUUCGAAAUAAAUUUAAACAAACCAUCAGAAUUAUCCUCCGCUUGCAAUUAUCUACGUUUAUUAAUUAUUUAUUCCGCUAUGAUAAUAUAACCUGCAAACUGAAGACAAACCAAAAGUCCGAAAGAAAUUCACAUGUUUUAUUCGAACGCCGCAUCGGAUGUAUUUCCGGCUUGCAACUGGAGACGUUAACAUGAUUCAUAUCCCAGACGCUGGUCGGCACAGACAGAAGGAAGAAAAUUUGCAUAUAACAUGCUAGAGACGAGGCAGACGUCGCUGCAUCUCUAACGAUUCUUUUUUUAUUCCACAUACUGGAGAUCGACUGAAACUCGAGACUUCUUUCGUCGAACGUGGGUGGAUUCAGCUUAUAUAGCGUCGCAGAAAUCGCUCAGUGUCCAGAACAAUCGAUAAACAAUGAGUUCGUGAACCUACCAAUCUUACACGAUCCGUAAAUAUCAUUAAGUUUUACGAUUCCUGAUUUAGCGAUGGUUGGAAGCGUUUGCCGCGGGUCACAAUAUUGGAAAGUGCUAGUUUUCUCUUUAAUUGGCUUUCUUCGUCUCUCAAUCUGUAAAAUUAGUUUGUUUGAUAAACAAGUAUAGAUAAAAGUGAUCAGUGAAAAAAUGAAGUUCAAUGACAAAGCAGCGAACUGUAAUGAAAUUUCUCGCAAUUAAGAAGAAGUUCGUAAAACUAUUCUUAGCACCUAUGUGUUUUCAUAUUUUCCUCCUUACAUCUUUGAAUUUGCAACCGUUUAAUUGCACUCGGGAAAACCUCUCUGACUUUCAACGAUUGUUAGUUAGAUAAACGUAAUACUACGUUUUUCCGAUGGAGCUAAAUGUAAGACGUUGACUGUUUAGUUUCAGAGAUUUCUUGUUAGCGGUUAUCACGAAACUCACUAGCCGGAUAACACGACAGCAAAAAUUACAUUACCUCACGAUAAGCAAACUUUCGGUAUACGAUUAUCACGAGACACAUAAAAACGAGAUAUUUCACGAUCCACUGCCAACGUUCAAUUGCCCCAACCACAUGUUAAUUGUAAUACGUAUAUGUAAGUAUAUUUCUGCAAAACCCACGCAGUAACGAAAACUCUACAAAAAAGGAAUUCUCCGGACUAUCGGUGAACCGAGUAGAAACCCCUAUCUGAUUCGAGUUAAUGUUCGAGAAGCAGUCGAAGUAAACGUACGGAUGAAUAAACUGAGUAGGUUUAAAGGCCCGCUUGCUCGUUCCCUAUGGGGAUGUUCACCGUUGUCCUUGGAAGCGAGCGGCAAUUAAAAACGCCUAUUCCACGGAUUACCUAUUCGCAAACGAGUCAGAGGCAGACGAAUUUUAUACCCGCUUUAUAGAGCUUUACCUUGCUUUAUGUUCGGUGCAGAAAGACGGCGCAGGUAUUCGUGAAAGGAAUUCCAAGGGCAACGGUGUCUGGGCCUCGAAAGGACGGUCAACGCACCACAGUUUCCUUUGUGCGAUUCAGCCGCGUUUCUAAAUCGUUUUCACAAACUGUUGAGAGAGCUGGAACGCCUAGAACGCCCACGGGAAUCAGCCGUUUCUACCUUCGCCGGGGAGACAUUGUACGCGUCUGGUGGAACACGUUUUUAUACUACUCGAAUCGAUUUCUCUCGCUCUUAGAUAGGUUGAGAGGGAAUACGGCUGGGGUUACAGGAUUUUUUGAUCGCGCCAGGUUAAGUUUGAUAAAUUUAAUGGUAGCGAGGAAAUAAUUGAAACUGUACUAGAAAUAGGCUAGCAUUCACAAUACUGUGAUAUUGUGAAAUAGAAAGCUACUCAAAUUACUACAAACCCCUUAAAUAGCAAGAUCGGAUAUAUCCUCUUAGAUUGCAGAAAUAUACCUAUCAACUGUCUAGCUAAAUGUAUUCCAUAAUGAUGCAAAAUCAUCUCUAAAGAUCAUAGUUCUCUAACGACUACCAACUACCAAUCUGGAGCAUCCCGCGACAACUAGAGAUCAGUUGUCUUCAUCUUCCCCUGAUUCGACUCGUUAAGCAGAAUGUAAAAACGUAGUUAACCUAAGGUACUGAUAAAUAUACCCUAGCCUACCUUCAGACAAAUUAACCUAUCUGGUCGCUAACGAGUGAAGAAAAAGCCAAGCAUCAAUCUCUCCGUUAACGCCCAAAGAUGGAUCACGCCCGUGUAUCUGUCAUUCGAGCGUGGUUACCGACCGGGAAAGAGAAUCGCAGGAUGUCCCCGAUGACGAAGCCGAGUUGGUCGUUAAAGGUGGACACAGGCCCGGUUGAGUGGCCCGAACAAAGGAUCUCGAACUGGACAAUGGCUUUUUCUUGACAUUUCUGACGACCUUUGCCGCGAGAGAGGAGAGAACAGAAUGUAGCAAGGGACCACACAACACUAUAGACGGCUCUUUAGCAGCCGUAAUGACAACUUCUCUCGGUGUGGCGCGACUAGUCGUGGUGCGGCGGUAAUUAAAGGGCGUGGAAACUAGGUAGCUCGGCGCUCGGCUACCAGGGCCACUUUUCUUUCGGCACAGAUACGAUGAAAAGUGAACUGUUCCACGCUCCGCUACGCUGAAAAGAACACCACGGUGUGUACAAUGCCAGCUGGUAAGCACGAAAAAUUUUCACUCAAUAGUGAGAAACUUGGUGCCGCGAAAGGAUAAGCUUUGUCUCUAGAAAUAAUAACGCCCCGGACGUUUGAUACACCAGAUUAAUUAAUAGGGAAACGCGCCGGUUAUCGUUUUCAUCGUCGUGCCUUUGUUCCACGUACGUGUUCCAUAUAUGUUGUUAUUCAAUACAUUGGAGAUCGUGAAAUUGUGUUAACGCAAUAUGUAUGUCAUUUGCAACUAUUUUUCCAUCAAUUUACGAUAUCGAUCUCUAGCUUUUUAAUAUUCUAGCCGUGAAACGGAGCACCAAGGAUUUGCUUAAACUGUUGGUUUGGAACAAUGUUCAGCUGUUAUAACAUUUGCGAUUUUUCUCCUCCGUAUCUUUCCUGGAAUUUCCGACUGCGUUACUCAGGAUCAACAUUAAAUGUAAUCUAAUUACAAUUUUAAUUAAAUGAAAACGCUAAAUAAUAAUUAAACGCCGUCCUUCUGUAGAAACAGGUUUAAUAUCUCUGCAUAUUCAAUUACGUUAUUUUUCAAUUUUCAUUUAUAUAUUCUCCUCAAGGGGAAUUUUAUAUUUGCUACUAUCAAUAUAUUACAGCGAUAUCAUUCGUGUCAGCCUUCUAAGGUUCACAGUGACACCCGGUAACGAUACUUGAGAAUUAAUCUCAGCCCCUAAGACACACAAAGCAACCAAACCAAGCCACACAAGAUUCCUGUCAACAUAAUCUACCUCCUGUAACCUAAUCAGCUAAUUCGCAAACGUUUCCUCCCGACGCCAACCAAGUAUCUAUAACCUGGAUUCGAGCAUCCGAAAUAUCUCCGACCUUCCACCUUAUCCACAAAUAUCAGCCUUCCACCUUCCCUCCGCAAGUUUCUAUUUCUUCAUUUCUUCCGCAAGAAACUACGAGCACACGUGGAGCCGCUAUCUGUCCCGAUAUCACCAUCGAUAAAUCGAAAUGGGAACGAAGGUCCAGGAUUUUCUAUUAAGCCGACUGUUCGCUAGCUGCCAAACGUCAAGAAGCAGAGUUACAAUUAUCGAGGCCAUUCGUUCGUUACGAGACGCUGGAUACCUUCGUUUUUUUCCAAUUCUUUUGCCUUCUCCGAUGCCUUUACUGACUGAACUGACCAGAGCUACUCUCCGCGUGGACUUUAAGUGGGGUUACCGGAUGGGGGUCAGCUGUUAUUGGCGUGUACCGUUCGCCACGUAAGUGCUAAGUGCGAGAGCUGCGAGGUUACCGACGAGAUUACCCCUGCAACACCAAUAAUCGAGUAAUAACGAAGUCGACCGGCUCCGCUUCCUCUUGUACCUACCUAUCUCGGAAGCGACGCAGAUUCCACGGCAGAUCGGUAUCAGAGGCCAUGGUUCGGACCACACCGGCUAUAAUCUGGCAUAUAUGUGCUUCGAAAUUACUCGUUACAUACAUAUAAUACUUUGAAGAGAUACUCGAUGAAUGGACUUCGUGGAAUUGUUUAAACGUUUCUGGGGAUGGUUUUAAAGAGCGUCAGGAGCUCGCUGUCGUGUUUCGCCGCCUCGCGGAGGCCAACCAACGGGAAAAUGGCGUCGCAGCCCGUGAAGAUAAAGUUGGACGCGAUUCGGACACGCUGAUAAGGGGUGAAACGAGCGUGGCUGUGGAAAUGACGGCUCAGACGGCGAUUAGCCUUCUCGAGUAGGUCGAGGGAAAGAAAUUGCACAAUGGGGCAGAAACGACGUAGAAACGACACGAAAAACCACUAUUCUUGAUAACAAACAAUGGCCUUUGUUUUACUUUCUACGAUGCGAUUACGUUAACUGAUAUUUUGAUGUUGUCACUGUUUGCCGGUAUUAGAGGCAAGUAUUUUUUACAGAUCGAAACGAUAUUGGAUAAUAAAGGCAAUCUAUAUUGGUAUUAAAGGACACUUUAUCACGCAAGAUGGAUAGCUGUUUUUUUAUGUAAGUUAAAUUAUAGGAUCGUAAUGUAACGUAAAACCAUGGGAACAAUGAAAUGUAUUGAAUUGAAAAAAUAUAUUGUGAAAAUGAAUUGUAUUGAAGGUUUGACGCAACAAGCCGAGGAAGGUGAUUAUUUAGGGAAUAAAAUUAUAAUACUAUGCGUAGAAGCAGAUUUGGGGAUAGAAUAUUUUUAUGUUUACGAACAAAAGGAUUUAUAUCCACCAGUAAUACUGAAUUGUAUGUAGAUAUAGAUCUAGUAAAAAUAUUCGAACAAUAAGAUUUAAGAAAUUAUCCAAGAAUACAAAAGCAAUAAUACUCAUCGUUCCGAACUAGUCAUUUCUCGAGACACUUUCUAAAAUCCCAAUCGUUCAAAUAAAUCCUAUAUAGCGCUACGUAUCGUACUACACGACGUCUUAAAAUGAAAAUCACGAAACCAACUAUCCAUAUAUUCAAGGAUAAAAAUAAAAAUUUCUUUAAAGAAUAAUACAACCCCAUAAGAACUUUCUUCCACUCGAACAACAUUCCAUUUCAAUAAUCAACUUAAGCGUCUCUUCUGUAUAUAUAUAUCCUAUCCGAGUCUCAUUCCGAAGUCCUGUUAAAUCCAAGCUAAGCUGAAUAGCCAUUACGCGAAUGCUUCCGUGUUUCGUGUUCAAACGGAAUGAUUCCAGAAGUGCGUACGAUAAAGUUAUCCGGUGCUUUGCUGCUUGGCGAAAUUAUCGGAGAUACGAUGUCGUCGUCGUUGUAGACGCGUACGUGAUCGUAAAUCGCGCGCAACAUAACCGUGUGUUUUACUCGCGACGACGACAACGAUGGUCUCUACGACACGAACUUCGAGCAAUACCUGCGUCAAGACAUUUUCCUUGGAAAACCAUGGAGAGAUAGCUGCAGGGGUUGAGUGGGAAAAAUGAAGAGAUAAAGAGACGUACGUUCCAUAAGUUACGAGACCGAUGGUUUUCAAUAUAAAGUUUAAUAAAACAUGUUCGUAAUAAGACCCCCGAGAUAUAAAUUUAUGUUGCGAAUUAUUUUAAUGUGUACUCUACUCUGGUUUUAGUUGUAAUUAGACUGUGAAUUUUUAUGCGAAUUCGUAUUAUUAAGAGGACGAUUAAAGAAAUGUAACCUAAAUAGAGUACAGCUUCUACCCUGAAUUUUUGUUUCAUAUGUUUCUGCGUCUUAUGUACAUUUUUUAACCAGUUAUUUAUAAUACACGCAAAUUGACGAGUAUCGUUUUCUUUUGAUAAUGACGACAUCCAUUCGCCUAUUUCAAGUGUACUGAUAAUAAACGUCCUGUGAUUUACUGAUGGUAAUGUUGGAAAGAGAAAGAACGAAUGGAAGGAGAAAGAAGAGGCGAAUAAAAAGAGAGACAAAGGAAACGAAGGCGAGUGAAAGAAAGGAAAAAGGCAAAGUAAAAGAAAAGGGAACAAGGACAGAGAAAGAGAUGGAAUGGAGAUUGAGAGUUGAAAUAGGGGGGAAAAAAGAGAAAUAAUGGACCAACCGAGAAGUAAGUGGCAGUGUAAGAAAAAAAGAGUAGAAAAAUCAGAAGGAAAA